rnacentral:rRNA from 1 species
UACGGGAGGAGCGAGCAUUAUUCGGAAUGAUUAGGCGUAAAGGGUUUGUAGGUUGUUUUUCAAGUUGAAAAAAAAAGAUUAAAGCUUAACUUUAUUUAUUUUUUCAAAACUAAAAGACUAGAGUAUACAUAGAGGAUAAUAGAAUUUCUAUUGGAGGGAUAAAAUCUGUUGAUAAUAGAAGGAAUGUCAAAGGCGAAGGCAAUUAUCUGGGUUUAUACUGACACUGAGAAACGAAAGCUUGGGUAGCGAACGGG